AUUGAACGCUAGCGGGAUGCUUUACACAUGCAAGUCGAACGAGUGGCGGCCGGGUGAGUACUAUAUCGGAACCUGCCCAGUAGCGGGGGCUAACUACUCGACAGCGUGGCUCAUACCGCAUACUAUUGAAGCGGCCGAUAUCGGAGUAGCUAGUUGGUGGGGUAAAGGCUCAACAAGGCAACGAUCCGUCGCUGGUUUGAGAGGACGACCAGCCACACUGGGACUGAGACACGGCCCAGACUCCUACGUGAGGCAGCAGUGGGGAAUUUUGGACAAUGGGGGAAACCCUGAUCCAGCCAUCCCGCGUGUAUGAGAAGGCCUUCGGGUUGUAAAGUACUUUUGGCAGAGAAGCGGUAUCUGCAGAAUAAGCACCGGCUAACUACGUGCCAGCAGCCGCGGUAAUUC
rnacentral:rRNA from 1 species